rnacentral:snRNA from 1 species
AGCUUUGCGCAGUGGCAGUAUCAUAGCCAAUGAAAUUUAUCCGAGGCAUGAUUAUUGCUAAUUGAAAGUUCACCUGUUUAAACGUGCACAAUUCAAUGG